AUUCGUGAACGGUUUCGUCUUUUGUCGUCAUGUGUCGUCAUGUGUCGUUAAGUGUUUGGCCAUGUUUGCCAUGUGCUUUACAUGAAAUGAUAGCGUUUUAAUUAGAGUGUUCAAGCAUCUAUAUUCUAAUAUUCUUUUUGAAUGAUUACACACUGGGUCAUUAGAACACGAAGCAUAAAAAUUUUGUAAAACAUCAUGAACAAGAAAACGCUCCACAUCAUGAGUUACCUUCUACUGGUUACAAUAAAUCUUCAUUUGAAUCUGUAAAACCAUCUGAUAAUCUACAUGAUAAUAAUUUCAAAAGACAAGUAUUACGACAGUUGCAAAUAAUUAAUCUAAGACAACAACAAAUUUCAGAGGAUCUGAGCGUUUUAUUGAUGAAAGCAAAUUCUGAAAAAAAAUGAACCAAUUAUAUCAAAUGAAGAAUCUGUAUUUAAAAAUUAUAAUUUUCCUUUAAAAGAAAUAGAAGAAUUAGAAGAAUAUCUAUAGAAGAAUUUCUAAUCGAAGACAAUAAUUUCAAAAAGUUUGUAACGGAAAUUAUUAAAAUUGGAGGAACAUCCUACAAACAAAUGGUGAAACGCGUGUUAACAAGAAUAAUGUCUAAUGAUUUGUCUAAGACUUAUAGUUGGAUAGGUUUUAAAGGAAAAUGUAACUUUUCUAAUCUUCGAAUUUGCUCAGCAAUAUUAUCUGCUGUACAAAAAACGCAUAGCUGCUCGGAAGCGAUGAUAGAUGCAGUAAUAAAAUAUUGGCUUGCAAAAUCUAUCGAACGA